CCUACGGGAGGCUGCAGUCGAGAAUCAUUCACAAUGGGGGAAACCCUGAUGGUGCGACGCCGCGUGGGGGAAUGAAGGUCUUCGGACUGUAAACCCCUGUCAUGUGGGAGCAAAUUAAAAAGAUAGUACCACAAGAGGAAGAGACGGCUAACUCUGUGACAGCAGCCGCGGUAAUACAGAGGGCUCAAGCGUUGUUCGGAACCACUGGGCGUAAAGCGUGCGUAGGCUGUUUCGUAAGUCGUGUGUGAAAGGCGCGGGCCCAAACCGCAGUAGGCACAGGAGACUGCGAGACUAGAGUAAUGGAGGGGGAACCGGAAUUCUCGGUGUAGCAGUGAAAUGCGUAGAUAUCGGGAGGAACACUCGUGGCGAAGGCGGGUUCCUGGACAUUAACUGACGCUGAGGCACGAAGGCCAGGGGAGCGAAAGGGAUUAGAUACCCCUGUAGUC
rnacentral:rRNA from 1 species